rnacentral:rRNA from 1 species
UCAUUAGUUGCCAUCAGGUCAAGCUGGGGACUCUAAUGAAACUGCCUACGCAAGUAGUGAGGAAGGUGGGGAUGACGUCAAAUCAGUACGGCCCUUACGUCCAGGGCUACACACGUGCUACAAUGGCCGGUACAAAGGGCAGCUACCUGGUGACAGGAUGCUAAUCUCAAAAGCCGGUCUCAGUUCGGAUCGGAGUCUGCAACCCGACUCCGUGAAGUUGGAUUCGCUAGUAAUCGCGCAUCAGCCAUGGCGCGGUGAAUACGUUCCCGGGCCUU